UCAGUUCGGAUUGCAGGCUGCAACUCGCCUGUAUGAAGUCGGAAUUGCUAGUAAUCGCGGAUCAGCAUGCCGCGGUGAAUACGUUCCCGGGCCUUGUACACACCGCCCGUCACACCAUGAGAGUCGGGAACACCCGAAGUCCGUAGUCUAACCGCAAGGAGGGCGCGGCCGAAGGUGGGCUUGAUAAUUGGGGUGAAGUCGUAACAAGGUAGC
rnacentral:rRNA from 1 species